AUUGAAAGGGCUGCAAAAAUAAGCAGGUUACUCUGAUAUAGUAAUAUUUAAGGUGGUGUUCCUUCUUCAAUA
rnacentral:tRNA from 1 species